AGCGUUCCCCCCCGGGGGACAGAGUGACAGGUGGUGCAUGGUUGUCGUCAAAAAAGUGUCGUGAGAUGUUGGGUUAAGUCCCGCAACGAGCGCAACCCUUGAUCUUAGUUGCCAGCAUUUAGUUGGGCACUCUAAGGUGACUGCCGGUGACAAACCGGAGGAAGGUGGGGAUGACGUCAAAUCAUCAUGCCCCUUAUGACCUGGGCUACACACGUGCUACAAUGGAUGGUACAAAGGGCUGCAAGACCGCGAGGUCAAGCCAAUCCCAUAAAACCAUUCUCAGUUCGGAUUGUAGGCUGCAACUCGCCUACAUGAAGCUGGAAUCGCUAGUAAUCGCGGAUCAGCAUGCCGCGGUGAAUACGUUCCCGGGCCUUGUACACACCGCCCGUCACAUCCAUGAGAAGGUGUCACUAGAGUUUGAUCAUGG
rnacentral:rRNA from 1 species